AUGCCUUACGAUGAGCGGUACACACCGUACAUCAAGCAGGCAGGACUACUCCCGUGGAUUCUGUUGGUCAGCCGGUCCACGCCGAAUCUGAACGCUCCACUGGUGUCCGCUCUUGUUGAUCGGUGGAGGCCAGAGACCCACAGUUUCCAUCUUCGGACCGGGGAGAUGACCGUGACGCUCGAGGAUGUCUCGUUGAUCACCGGUCUUGCUAUCGAUGGGAGGCCUCUAUGUAUGAGCACCGAUUCUGAUGGGUGGCGCGAGCAGAUGAUUGCUCUUAUCGGUAUGGCUCCUACCGAGGCUGAGGAUGAUGUAGAGGAGGGAGAAGAGAAGAAGAAGAGGGAAAGGAAGGCAGCCGGAGCUGCUUUCACGUGGAUUCAAAAUAACUUUGCGACGUGCCCUCCAUGGAUGUGGUACAUUGUGUCGAGGACUUUGUUUCCUGACUCCAUUGGCAAGAACGCUCCAUGGAUGUGGCUGAAGGCGUUGACCAUCUUCGAUAGCAAAUGGAGCUGGGGUUCAGCGACUCUUGCCUACUUGUACCGACAGGUAGUUGGUCUGUUUUGUGAUCAACUCAUUUAUUCAUUAGCAAUGCAAGCUUGCUGUCAAGUUAACAUUGUUUUUCUUUCAUAUGUAGUUGGAUGA
rnacentral:rRNA from 1 species